AUGAACGCUGGCGGCGUGCCUUAGGCAUGCAAGUCGAAUGGGAAAGUCGCAAGACAACUCAAUGGCAGACGGGUGAGUAACGCGUAGGAAUCUACCUCUGGGUAGGGCAUAGCUGGUCGAAAGGUCAGGUAAUUCCCUAUAGUCUCGUAAGAGUAAAGGACUUAACGGUCCGCCGAGAGAGGAGCCUGCGUCCUAUCAGCUAGUUGGUGAGGUAAAGGCUCACCAAGGCGAUGACGGGUAGCUGGACUGAGAGGUCGAUCAGCCACAACUGCACUGAGACACGGGCAGUACACCUACGGGUGGCAGCAACCAGGAAUAUUGCGCAAUGGACGAAAGUCUGACGCAGCGACGCCGCGUGGAGGAAGACGGCCUUAGGGUUGUAAACUCCUUUUGCCAAGCCGUUCACAGCUUGGCGAAUAAGCCUCUACUAACUACGUGCCAGAAGUCUCGGUAAUACGUAGGAGGCAAGCGUUAUCCGGAUUUACUGGGCGUAAAGUGUGCGUAGGCUCCCCUUUAAGUCGUGUUUUAAAUACUAAGGCUUACCCUUAGAACUGAAUACGAUACUAUUGGGGUUGAGGAUUGACAGGGAAGCUGGAACAGUGCGUGUAGCAGUGAAAUGCGUUGAUAUGCACUGGAACACCAAGGGCGAAGGCAGGCUUCUGGGUUUUUCCUGACGCUGAGGCACGAAAGCUAGGGUAGCGAAACAGAUUAGAUACCUGUGUAGUCCUAGCCGUAGACGAUGUCCGCUAACUCUUCGUUUCAUAGAGUGUUUAAACGUCAUUCCUGCGAAAGCAGGAAUCUAGAAACUAAUUAGAUCCCGGAUCGAGUCCGGGAUGACAAAAUGUUUAAAUACUGUAUGAAGCGAGGGGUUCAAGCUAACGCGUUAAGCGGACCGCCUGGGGAGUACGACCGCAAGGUUAAAACUCAAAGGAAUUGACGGGGACCCGCACAACUGGUGGAGCGUGUGGUUUAAUUCGAGACGAAGCGAAACACCUUACCAGGGCUUGACAUGCUACCGUUUUAUACCUUUUGAAAGAUUGGUAGAUCCGCAAGGAUGGUAGCACAGGUGAUGCAUGGCUGUCGUCAGCUCGUGUCGUGAGAUGUUCCCUUAAGUGGGGAAACGAGCGCAACCCCCGCGAAAUGUUACAUAUUCAUUUCGGACGGUCCCGAUCAUAUCGGGAAGGAAGGAGGGGAAGACGUCAAGUCAGCACGUCCCUUAUGCCCUGGGUCACACACACCCUACAAUGGCGAACAACAAAGAGCAGCAAGUACGCGAGUGCAAGCAAAUCUCUAAAAUUUCGCCUCAGUUCAGAUUGCAGUCUGCAACCCGACUGCAUGAAGGAGGAAUCAGUAGUAAUCGCGGAUCAGCAGGCCGCGGUGAAUACGUUCUCGGGUCUUGUACACACCGCCCGUCAAGGCAGCAAAGUUGGGAGCGGAUGAAUCAUACCUAUAUGGCGUGAGAGUCCGAGCUUAGCGAUGAAGCUU
rnacentral:rRNA from 1 species